CCCAAUUCGUAAAGUAAACGUUUUUGUUUUUCUUUCACCAACGUGAUAACGACCAGAAUACAUGCUUCUUAAAUUACUCGCCGAUCGCUGCUUGUGCAGAAGCAAUGUCACUCUACUUUCUCGUGGCACGAUGACAUCGCGAUGUUUAACUACACCCAUCAACGAUUAAAUUAUAAUAUUUUGUACCAAAGAAAUUGAAAUGAAAGAUACAUGAGAAGGUAAUUAAUACAAGAUAAACAGAAAAUUUUGACAAACUUUCUUACUUUCAAAUUAAAUUCUUAUUCAGAAAAAACAUUCUUACUUUACAACAAAGAAAUAUCUGAAAUUCGUCAAAAUACAUUGGUGUAAAUCUAUAAAGUUUUUAUGAAAAGUUUCAACUAAAUUGGUUAUUUUGAUCAUUCUAGUAAUUCUAGUAUUAAGUUGUAGAUAAUUUCACAUGUGAUUGCAUAUAAUGUAGAUGCAUAAUGUACAUAGUUUAAAUGACUUACUAACCUUUUCUUGCAGGAAAGAUUUUUUCGAUGAACCCGAAUCCUAGUAUGCACGACUGCU